rnacentral:rRNA from 1 species
GACGAACGCUGGCGGCGUGCUUAACACAUGCAAGUCGAACGGAAAGGCCCUGCUUUUGUGGGGUGCUCGAGUGGCGAACGGGUGAGUAACACGUGAGUAACCUGCCCUUGACUUUGGUAUAACUUCAGGAAAUUGGGGCUAAUACCGGAUAGGAGCUCCUGCUGCAUGGUGGGGGUUGGAAAGUUUCGGCGGUUGGGGAUGGACUAGCGGCUUAUCAGCUUGUUGGUGGGGUAGUGGCUUACCAAGGCUUUGACGGGUAGCCGGCCUGAGAGGGUGACCGGCCACAUUGGGACUGAGAUACGGCCCAGACUGCUACGGGAGGCAGCAGUGGGGAAUAUUGCGCCGUAGGCGGAAGCCUUAUGCAGCAACGCCGCGUGCGGGAUGACGGCCUUCGGGUUGUAAACCGCUUUCGCCUGUGACGAAGCGUGAGUGACGGUAAUGUGUAAAGAAGCACCGGCUAACUACGUG